rnacentral:tRNA from 1 species
GGGGUUGUGGCUCAGCGGUAGAGCGCUCAUCUAGUACAUGUGAGAGGUUUGAUCCUCAGCACCA